rnacentral:misc_RNA from 1 species
GUAUUAAUUGCGUGUGAUCGCAAAAGAAAAACAUUCUACACUGUAUCGAGUUUGUGUGAAAACGUGAGCCCCCGAAAGGGGACCCACGCGGUGGUGCACAUAGGGGUGAGAUGGAUGUUUGAGAACGCUCGGGCGUGCACGACAUUGAGUCAGCGACAGCCCUUGCAUGCCCCUCACAUUUUGUACGAUAAUGAUCCUUCCGCAGGUUCACCUACGGAAA